GUAAUAGCUCACUGGUCGAGUCGGCCUGCGCGGAAGAUGUAACGGGGCUAAACCAUGCACCGAAGCUGCGGCAGCGACACUGUGUGUUGUUGGGUAGGGGAGCGUUCUGUAAGCCUGCGAAGGUGUCCCGUGAGGGAUGCUGGAGGUAUCAGAAGUGCGAAUGCUGACAUAAGUAACGAUAAAGCGGGUGAAAAGCCCGCUCGCCGGAAGACCAAGGGUUCCUGUCCAACGUUAAUCGGGGCAGGGUGAGUCGACCCCUAAGGCGAGGCCGAAAGGCGUAGUCGAUGGGAAACGGGUUAAUAUUCCCGUACUUGGUGUUACUGCGAAGGGGGGACGGAGAAGGCUAUGUUGGCCGGGCGACGGUUGUCCCGGUUUAAGCGUGUAGGUGUGUGUUCCAGGUAAAUCCGGUUCACUUUAACACUGAGGCGUGACGACGAGGCACUACGGUGCUGAAGCAACAAAUGCCCUGCUUCCAGGAAAAGCCUCUAAGCAUCAGGUAACAUCAAAUC
rnacentral:rRNA from 1 species